rnacentral:rRNA from 1 species
UACGAAGGGGGCUAGCGUUGUUCGGAUUUACUGGGCGUAAAGCGCACGUAGGCGGAUCGUUAAGUCGGGGGUGAAAUCCUGGAGCUCAACUCCAGAACUGCCUUCGAUACUGGCGAUCUUGAGUCCGGAAGAGGUGAGUGGAACUCCUAGUGUAGAGGUGGAAUUCGUAGAUAUUAGGAAGAACACCAGUGGCGAAGGCGGCUCACUGGCCCGGUACUGACGCUGAGGUGCGAAAGCGUGGGGAGCAAACAGG